rnacentral:rRNA from 1 species
GAGUGAACGCUGGCGGUAGGCCUAACACAUGCAAGUCGAACGGCAGCACAGUAAGAGCUUGCUCUUACGGGUGGCGAGUGGCGGACGGGUGAGGAAUACAUCGGAAUCUACUUUUUCGUGGGGGAUAACGUAGGGAAACUUACGCUAAUACCGCAUACGACCUACGGGUGAAAGCAGGGGAUCUUCGGACCUUGCGCGAUUGAAUGAGCCGAUGUCGGAUUAGCUAGUUGGCGGGGUAAAGGCCCACCAAGGCGACGAUCCGUAGCUGGUCUGAGAGGAUGAUCAGCCACACUGGAACUGAGACACGGUCCAGACUCCUACGGGAGGCAGCAGUGGGGAAUAUUGGACAAUGGGCGCAAGCCUGAUCCAGCCAUACCGCGUGGGUGAAGAAGGCCUUCGGGUUGUAAAGCCCUUUUGCUGGGAAAGAAAAGCAGCAGGUUAAUACCCCGCUGUUCUGACGGUACCCAAAGAAUAAGCACCGGCUAACUUCGUG